rnacentral:rRNA from 1 species
UACGGAGGGUGCGAGCGUUGUCCGGAAUCACUGGGCGUAAAGGGCGCGUAGGCGGCUCAUGAAGGCUGUGGUGAAAGUCCGGGGCUCAACCUCGGAUCGGCCGUGGCGACUCGUGGGCUGGAGCACUGUAGAGGCGGGUGGAAUUCCGGGUGUAGCGGUGGAAUGCGUAGAGAUCCGGAAGAACACCAGUGGCGAAGGCGGCCCGCUGGGCAGUGGCUGACGCUGAAGCGCGACAGCGUGGGGAGCAAACGGG